rnacentral:piRNA from 1 species
UGUAAUUUGGAAGUGGCUUUUCCACUGUGC